UUUGUCUAUUUAAGACACAAAGAAACCCAGAGUAGUAUCUAACAUUUUCUGCACAUUAUGUUCAUGCUACAUUCAGUUGGCUUCCAUAUAUGCCAGGCAGUCUACAAGAGAAAAGCUGUAACAUUCAGCCCAGGGUGAGUGGCCACUUGUCUGCUCUCGCUCAUGAGCUCGUUACAAAGCUAGGCAUCAGGCUGAGGGAGCACAGAACACAGAUGCCUAACCCUAGGCCUUCUAUACUAACUGUGGCCAUUCUUCCCAAAGUUUAACUGAUACUCAAAGAAUUGUCCAGAGACCCUCAACUCCAGCUUUUGUGUAAUACAUUUUGGAUUUCUGGCUCCUUAUUUCAGUUCUCUUUAAAACCAGUUCAACACAGUGUGUUAAAAAGAAUGAACAAGUUAGUUUGUGGCAUCUGGUAUUUUCUUCUAUAUUGUAAAAAAAAAAAAAAAAAAAAAAAAAAAGGCCUUUAUUUUGAGCUAUAGACAGCUAAUGAAUAAAGUCUAACCCUUAGGAUCAGUUGUGUCCUGAAGUGACUCUCAGCAACCUUAAGUGGAUCAAAAGACAGAAUGAGACAUGCCAGAGCUAUGGGAAGCAGGUGAGAGCCACGUGUGUGCCCUUUCCAGGAAUAUCUGUGCUUCUUCAGGCCAGUGUGGAGGCUGAACACAGUACUACUUUGUGGGAACAGGAGACUGACCUUGCUCCAUCUUUGUCUGCCACAAAUGUGGGAGUGGCUAUCAGAGGACUUCUCAGGUCUUUCCGGAUAUAGAUCUUCUCAGUGGAAGCAGCACAAUUGCUUGGUUUCUCCCGUUGCACAUCAAAGGGCUUCCGUUCACUCUGUACAGCUUAAAUGACAACAUAUUCACAUUUAGAGAAAAAGAAUCAAAUGAAUAAACACUGUAACAUGCUGAAGUUGUUUCUUAGCAAAUCUGUAACUCUGGCAUUUGGUCACCAUGGGCUUUCCAAUCAAUGCAAAGAGUCAAAAUCAACAACCCCAAAGCAAAGGCAUACAAAGGCUCAAGAUGGCAGGUGAUGCUUGCUCAGAAACUGCCACUCUGAUGUGACCUAAGGAGGCCAAUAUAUUCUACUGUUUGGGUUUUUUUUUUGUUUUGUUUUGUUUUGUUUUUAAACUUCUGUCACUAACCAGCUGGGCUCAGCCCAGGAUAAGAAAUGUCAAUCUUCAAGUGGAUCCUUCAUAUAGAUUAUACCAUGCCACAAAUUGCUAGAGUCCAACUUCAUUCAGUCUGAAGAGCUUCAGCAAACUGGAGGCUGUUAGCUACAUACAGCAAUUUCUUUCCCAGCAACCAAGCUUAAGCAUGGGCAUAUAGGGGCUGGAGAAAGCUCAGAAGUUAAGAAUAUAUUACUCUUAAAGGGGACCAGAGUUCAGUUCCCAGCACUCACUUUAGACAGCUUACAACUGCCUGCAACUACAGCACUAGGGAGAUCUAAGGCCCUUGAUAGGUGCAUACAUUCAUAUGUACACAGUAUACAUAGACACAUACACAUACAUAAUUAAAACUAAAAUAAAAUUUUAAAUGAUAUAUGUUUGUCACAAGCAACUGAAGAAAAUCUAGAUCUUGGGGGGGUGGGGUGUACAGUUUAUGUAUAUACAGAGGCCAGAGAUCAACAUUGAGGAUUUUCUAUUACUGUUUUUCUCCUUUGUUUUGAUUUAGGGUCUUUCAGUGAUCAUGGAGAUCACUGAUUGGCUAGGUUGGCAUGGCCAGCAAGCUCUGCUGAUCUACCUGUCUUCACCCCUAGUGCUACAACUACACACAUUAGUAACACCACCCAGCUCUUACACAGGUGCCUGAAAUCUGAAUUCACAUCUUCAUGCUAAUACAGUAGACACUUUACACAUCGAGCCAUCUCCCCAGCCCACAAACUGUUCUUGUUUUGUUUUGUUUUUCGAGACAGGGUUUCUCUGUGUAUCCCUGGCUGUCCUGGAACUCACUCUGUAGACCAGGCUGUUCUCGAGCUCAGAAAUCCGCCUGCCUCUGCCUCCCGAGUUCUGCACAAACUGUUCUUAAAAGCAAGAGACCAAGCCUUGGGUCCAGAUGCCUUACUACUAAGUUGAAAUGCAGUUGGACUGUGAGUUUGCAACUAUGCUUGUGAUUGACCAAGUUUAGUCCCAUCACUGCUUACAACUAAGGACAACCUGUAAGUAUGACAGUGCAGACCUACCCUAAGCUAGACAUGUAUAUAUUAUACUGACUGUGGUUGUACAGGUUGCAAGCAUACUUCUUGUUCCCCAGUGAAUUUUGUAUUGUCCUAGUCCUAGAAUAGGAAACAAUAAUGAAAUCCACUGGCUCUAGUCUUCCUAGGAGCCAUGAGGCACUAUUAGCCUGUUGUAGGCCUGACUCUGUUCCUUUCCAUCCUUACUGUACACUUAAGCACAGCUUGCUCACAGUGACUUUUCUGUGUUGCCUAUUUUGGGACCUGGUUCUUAAGAUUUCACCGUUAGAAACUGAUUCAAUGAAUGGUCCUUGUGAAUGAAAGACUAGUUUCAGAAUACUACUGAGAGGAGGGUUUCAACCCUUUUGUGGCUGCUUCCACUUGGAUGGGUCACAGACGAGGCCCAGGGAUUGAGAAAGGAACUGUUUCUGGUAACUCUUUAGCCUUGGUCUCAGCUUUACUCUGAAGCUGUCGUUACCUAAUCUCCAUUCCUCCUGUCCUGUUUUCUGAUUGAUUGGGAAAGGGACUUUCGUAUAUACCAUGUAUACUGUCAAAACCCAGUAGUGUCAGCUCUGGACUACCUGGCUGCCCAGAAUUUAGGUAAAGCACAAUGAAGCUUUUCUGAGUAUUUCCACCACCCCCUCCCCUACUUCCCACCCCCUUUAAAGUCAAAGGUAAACCACACCUAUUUAGCAGGCAUUUACUAGCUUGAUGGGGCCCUGCUACUCACACUCCAUUUUCAUGCCCAUCUCCAGGCACUUCUUCAGCCGGCAGAACUGGCAGCGGUUACGGUGGUGCUUGUUGAUGAUGCAGUCUUGGCUGCUCCGACAGCUGUAGGUCAGAUUCUUCCUCACGCUCCUUUUGAAGAAACCUUUGCAACCUUCACAACUGACAGCCCCAUAGUGCCGGCCUGAAGGGAAGUGAAUGAGCACAUGAUUUGGCUCCUCAUGAGCAGAGGAAAAUGUACAAGAUGUCUGGACAGCCUGGAGAAACACAAUCAGAACCAGUGACAGCGCUGUCUACCUGCUUCCAGGGGAAGAUGGGCCUUUAAGUGGUAGGAUGGACUGGCUUUACCAAGACAAGGUCAUGUUGCUCCUUGAUACGUGCCAGAAGCCGGAGUCACAUACCAGAGGCUUUGUCGCCACAGACCACACAGUACUCCACCACCUGGGGCCGCUGGACGUCUGCCUUCCCCAGCAAACGCUCCACAGAAGCAGAAUCCGUGACGAUCUAAGAUGUUGGCAAACAAACAGUGCCAAUUAAAAGCUAGAUAACUAAGUAAAGUAACAUCUAGUUGUGCAUCCCCCUGUCUUAGGCAUCUAAACUAAAAGAACUCUAGGUAGAACUAGGAUUACUUUAACCAACAGCUUCUUCAUUCAACAGCCAGGUAAUUCUGCUUCCCCACUGGCCUGCACAUGUCAAUGAUUACUCUAUCCUGUGACUAUCACCAAAACUGGAGGCCACAUAGGGAUCACAUAUAGAUUCUCUAAGGUAAAGAAUAGGUAAGGUUCUUCAGCUAUGUUUCUCAUCCCAUCGAACAACAUGGAAAUAUACAACCUGGCAUGUUUGUCACACCCAGACUUUCCUGAUUGGACUGUUUGUUGAAGCACCUGGUAAUGGAGAGAUGAACUAGUACAGCUGACAACAGAAGCCUGCUAUUUCCUCUCACUUGUAGGUAACUCUCUAGAUUACAAACAGUGCUAUCCAUCUAGGAGAAAACAACUGAUAUCAAGCUAAGAAAUUUUAAAGAAUGGUUAUUUUUAAAAUGUACUUAAUUUGAGCACACAAUAGACCUUCAAACGAAUCUCACACGAUUGGGCCGUAUACAGAAAUCAGGUAAAAACCACCUGUGAAAUGACAACAUCAGAAGCCAGUCUUUCACAAACCUGUGCUUUUUAACAAAAUGGAUAGUUGAACAUCAAAAGAUCAGAACACACUUUAGGAGAAGGAGAAUAAGAUAGAUAAUGCUGGUUAGCUGUACUGCUAGCUCUCUCAGAGAACUUUCUGAAAGCAGAACACACUGGCUGUCUAAGUCUAGCUCAUCAAGGGAAAAAGGAGGUUCUGAAGUUUCUCUCUAUAGUAGAAAGAAUGCUCCACACAUCAGUAAUAGCCAAACAGUGGGACUAACCAGGUAUCAACCAAUAGAUGAAAGGAUAAAAACAAGGGCUGGCGGAUGGGUCAGUCAGUAAAGACCUUGCUGUGUAAGCACAAGGCCAGUAAGACCUUGGAUCACCAGGCUUACUGGUCAGGCAGGCAGCCUCUCCAAAUUAGUUUUGAGAGACAUAUCAAAAAAUAAGAUGUAGAGCCAGCAAAAAGUCUCAGUGGGAAGAGGCACCCGCUGCUAACCCUGACAAUCUGAGUUCAAUCCCAUGAACCCACAUGCGAGGAGCCAACUCUUGUAAGAUGCCCCCUGGCCUCCACACAUAUGCUGUACCAUGUAUGCAUUCAUAUGUAAAAUACAAAAUAUAAAUUUGCCAUAUAUGUAAUAUAAAAUGUCAUAAAUAUAUAAAUGCAUCAAAAAUAUUUUAAACAGA